ACCGUUGACCGCUGGAAGAGGUGUGCUGGGAGUACAACACAAGCUGACCGGCAUCACGACAUCGCCAGGGAGGUCGGCAAUGACAACAUGCGUAUGUUUAUUCACUGCAGUCACCAUCUCAAAUUAAUUAAUUAGUUUCAAUUAACUCUGUUGAAUAGUCUGUACUAUUACGCUAAUUACUACAAAUCUGAAAUGCAAAUUGACCAUGUCUCAUUUGAUUAGGAUGUUCAAAUUGACUAUGGAGAGUAUAUGACAACUCAUGCAGGUUCGUAAUGACUUGAAGAAAGCAUAUGAGAAGCGAGUAUAGGAGCUUUAAUAUUAGAGCAACAGGGGAGGAGCAAAUGAUUGAAGGGCUAUCAGCCGUGUAAAAGAAAGCUGAGGAUAACGUCACCAGGUGGAAAACUAUAUUUGGUUGACAUAAUAACACUAGCAAAGGUGAAUAACAAUGUAACAUUAUCUUUUCAUUAGUUGAUCCAUUCAACUUUUGUUUGAUAUGACUGGCAUGAUAUUUGGAUAGGAAAGUUAUUUGUUAACUUC
rnacentral:lncRNA from 1 species